rnacentral:rRNA from 1 species
AUUGAACGCUGGCGGCAGGCCUAACACAUGCAAGUCGAGCGGCAGCGGGAAAGUAGCUUGCUACUUUUGCCGGCGAGCGGCGGACGGGUGAGUAAUGCCUGGGAAAUUGCCCAGUCGAGGGGGAUAACAGUUGGAAACGACUGCUAAUACCGCAUACGCCCUACGGGGGAAAGCAGGGGACCUUCGGGCCUUGCGCGAUUGGAUAUGCCCAGGUGGGAUUAGCUAGUUGGUGAGGUAAUGGCUCACCAAGGCGACGAUCCCUAGCUGGUCUGGGAGGAUGAUCAGCCACACUGGAACUGGGACACGGGCCAGACUCCUACGGGAGGCAGCAGUGGGGAAUAUUGAACAAUGGGGGAAACCCUGAUGCAGCCAUGCCGCGUGUGUGAAGAAGGCCUUCGGGUUGUAAAGCACUUUCAGCGAGGAGGAAAGGUUGGUGCCUAAUACGUAUCAACUGUGACGUUACUCGCAGAAGAAGCACCGGCUAACUUCGUGCCAGCCGCCGCAGUAAGAC